rnacentral:lncRNA from 1 species
AUUUUUUUCUAAUAGAAAGUCUUAAAAAUAAUUAUUAUUUGUUUAGCACUUGCAACUGUGUUAUGCAUGUAUGUUAAAUGCUUUAUGCAGUGCUACUGUGCUUACUAACAUAAUAUUAUAUCUUGUAUAUCUAAAAUACAGAUUGUGUUUAUAGAUUAAAGAAUAUCUUUAACAUUUAACAUUGAAAUGACAAUUUUACAAUUAAUCCUGCAAUUAAAGUACUAUCCAUAUAAUUCAGAAGGUAUAAUGUAAAUUCAGAAAUUAUUACAUGCAUUUAUUAUUGCCAUUUUGUCCUUUUCGACUUAAAUGCAAUUUUAAUUUCUGUGACAUUGAGAAACAUCCUGUUUAUUUGAUAUAAAAAAAUUCUAAAUGCGAGUUGAAAUUAUUUCGAUUAUAACCCUGUCUCAUUUUUUGCAAUAAUAAAAACAUUGCAAUAAUUUCUGAAUUUACAGUAUUGUAUUUUUUCUCAGACAAUGUCAAGGGGAUAUCUGUUUAAACAAUGAAAUGGUAUAAGGUUAAAUGAUAUAUUGUAAAAUAAAGUUGAAGCUGAAAAUAAACAUUUCCUUUUCAAUAUAUCUAUAUUGCAUCAUGUUUUAUGUUGUUUAGUAUCUGAAUUGCUUGAACCUACUGUAUUGUUAUAUCUAGUUUACAACAACAAUUAACAGACUGAAUUAUUAAAAGGUGCAUCUAUUAACUCAUUGUUCUUUUUUUUAUUAUUGUCGUUUUUGUUAUUUUUAAAUCUUAAUACCAUGCUCAUAAAAACGAUUUAAAAUGGAAUCUGACCUAUUUUUCUACUGUAAAAGAAAUCAAUGUUAUUUUCAAUCAUAGUGUUGUGGAAUAAAGAUAAAC